ACGGGGUGCAGCAGGCGCGAAAGCUUUACACUGCACGAGAGUGCGAUAGGGGGACCCCGAGUGCGAGGGCAUACAGUCCUCGCUUUUCACCACUGUAAGGUGGUGGUGGAAUAAGUGCUGGGCAAGACCGGUGCCAGCCGCCGCGGUAAUACCGGCAGCACGAGUGAUGGCCGAUCUUAUUGGGCCUAAAGCGUCCGUAGCCGGCCAGACAGGUCCAUCGGGAAAUCUGCACGCCCAACGUGCAGGCGUCCGGUGGAAACCAGUUGGCUUGGGGCCGGAAGAUCCAGGGGGUACGUCCGGGGUAGGAGUGAAAUCCCGUAAUCCCGGACGGACCACCGGUGGCGAAAGCGCCCUGGAAGGACGGACCCGACGGUGAGGGACGAAAGCUAGGGUCACGAACCGGAUUAGAUACCCGGGUAGUCCUAGCUGUAAACGAUGUCCGCUAGGUGUGGCGCAGGCUACGAGCCUGCGCUGUGCCGCAGUGAAGGCGCUAAGCGGACCGCCUGGGAAGUACGUCUGCAAGGAUGAAACUUAAAGGAAUUGGCGGGGGAGCAC
rnacentral:rRNA from 1 species